UACGUAGGGUGCAAGCGUUGUCCGGAAUUAUUGGGCGUAAAGAGCUCGUAGGCGGUUUGUUGCGUCGGCUGUGAAAUCCCGAGGCUCAACCUCGGGUCUGCAGUCGAUACGAGCAAACUAGAGUGUUGCAGGGGAGACUGGAAUUCCUGGUGUAGCGGUGAAAUGCGCAGAUAUCAGGAGGGAACACCGGUGGCGAAGGCGGGUCUCUAGUACGGUACUGACGCUGAGACGCGAAAGCGUGGGAGCGAACAGGAUAG
rnacentral:rRNA from 1 species